rnacentral:rRNA from 1 species
UGAGGGAAUAUUUGGGGUCAAUGGGCGCAGGCCUGAACCAGCCAAGUCGCGUGAGGGAUGACGGUCCUACGGAUUGUAAACCUCUUUUGUCGGGGAGUAACGUGCGGGACGGGUCCCGUAUUGAGAGUACCCGAAGAAAAAAGCAUCGGCUAACUCCGUGCCAGCAGCCGCGGUAAUACGGAGGAUGCGAGCGUUAUCCGGAUUUAUUGGGUUUAAAGGGUGCGCAGGCGGCGCGCCAAGUCAGCGGUCAAAGUUCCGGGCUCAACCCGGUGUCGCCGUUGAAACUGGCGUGCUCGAGUGCGUGCGAGGAAGGCGGAAUGCGUUGUGUAGCGG